UACGUAGGGGGCAAGCGUUGUCCGGAUUUAUUGGGCGUAAAGAGCGUGUAGGCGGCUUUACAGGUCCGUUGUGAAAACUCGAGGCUCAACCUCGAGACGCCGGUGGAAACCAUCAGGCUAGAGUCCGGAAGAGGAGAGUGGAAUUCCUGGUGUAGCGGUGAAAUGCGCAGAUAUCAGGAAGAACACCCGUGGCUAAGGCGGCUCUCUAGUACGGUACUGACGCUGAGACGCGAAAGCGUGGGGAGCGAACAGG
rnacentral:rRNA from 1 species